GGACCCGCACAAGCGGUGGAGCAUGUGGUUUAAUUCGAAGCAACGCGAAGAACCUUACCAAAUCUUGACAUCCUUUGACAACUCUAGAGAUAGAGCUUUCCCCUUCGGGGGGACAAAGUGACAGGUGGUGCAUGGUUGUCGUCAGCUCGUGUCGUGAGAUGUUGGGUUAAGUCCCGCAACGAGCGCAACCCUUAUUGUUAGUUGCCAUUAUUUAGUUGGGCACUCUAGCGAGACUGCCGGUGACAAACCGGAGGAAGGUGGGG
rnacentral:rRNA from 1 species